UUUUGAGGUAAACUAUGUACUGAUUCCAGGAACAAUUUUAAGUGACAUUUGUUAACAUAAAUUAACCCCCUGCACUUCUGGAAUUUCUUCCGUAUAGUCUUCCCUUUCCUGUGAGUGAUUCUCCGUGACAUCUCAGAAUGAGUAGGACCUCCUGUGUGAGCAGACGUUUGGAAAAGCCACAAGGGAUGAGUGUCAUUACACAAAUCUGCAGGGCCAUGGGUCAUAUUGAAAUGUGAACAUAUCCUAUGGUCCCAGUGUUGGGAGUACAUGAAGAGUGGAAGAGAAAGGAAGUGUGAAAUGGAGGAAGCCAGAAAUCAAUCUGAAGAAAAUUCUCCCAACAACAGUUGUGCAAACUUUCAGUUUCUCAUCAAUGAUUUGCUUUGCAAAGAUGCCUGGUCAAGAUGGACCUUCUCUCCUGACCAGAAUAUACUGCAGCAUAUACAGUUAUAAACACAUCCUACAUUAUUUUUCCAUUUUGAUGGGGACUAUGAGAAAUAAAAUACUAGACUUAUCAGAAUUCCUAUGAUUGUAGAGCACAAACUGGAAGCAGCAGUAAAAGCUAUGUGUAUUAAGCCACUGUAUUCAUCUAAACUAGGAGUAGUACAAAAUUUCAAUCAACUAUGCUAAAGGAGAGAGCGAGCUAUCUUUCUAUUCUCUCUGUAGAAAAUACUACAAAAUCAUUUUAAUAUGAAAAGGCAAAGAGUAUGCAGUCAAAAACGUAGGAAGACAGCAUAGUGGUAUGUCAAGCAGUCAGUUAAUAAAAAUAUGUCAUUUUUCUUUUCUUUUUUUUUUGAGGAAGAUUGGCCCUGGGCUAACAUCUGUGCCCAUCUUCUUCUACUUUAUAUGUGGGUCACCUGCCCCAACAUGGCUUGACAAGCAGUGCGUAGGAUCCGAACUGGCAAAUCCUAGGCU
ensembl:lncRNA